UACGGAGGAUGCGAGCGUUAUCCGGAUUUAUUGGGUUUAAAGGGUGCGCAGGCGGCACGGCAAGCCGGCGGUCAAAUCGCGGGGCUCAACCCCGCCCAGCCGUCGGAACUGCCGGGCUAGGGUGGGCGAGAAGUGCGCGGAAUGCGUGGUGUAGCGGUGAAAUGCAUAGAUAUCACGCAGAACUCCGAUUGCGAAGGCAGCGCACCGGCGCCCUACUAACGCUCAGGCACGAAAGCGUGGGUAUCGAACAGG
rnacentral:rRNA from 1 species